ACACCUCAGCUCUCAUGGCUUGCCAUGAUGAGCUUGGACUUUGGGGGUCUUGUUGGCCUGUGAGCCAGCUCCUCUUAAAUGAAUUAGCUUGCCGGUGUUUGGUGUGGCGUCACAGGUGUGAUAACUAUCUACGCUUGUGGUUUCCCACCAGGUAACCUUCAGCAAUGGAGGUUCGCUGGAGCUCAUAAAUGUCUCUCCUCAGCGAGGACAGAUUUUGACC
rnacentral:misc_RNA from 1 species